AACGAACGCUGGCUGCAUGCCUAACACAUGCAAGUCGAACGAAGCCUUCGGGCUUAGUGGCGCACGGGUGCGUAACGCGUGGGGAUCUGCCCUUUGCUUCGGAAUAACAGUUAGAAAUGACUGCUAAUACCGGAUGAUGUCGUAAGACCAAAGAUUUAUCGGCAAAGGAUGAACCCGCGUAGGAUUAGCUAGUUGGUGGGGUAAAGGCCUACCAAGGCGACGAUCCUUAGCUGGUCUGAGAGGAUGAUCAGCCACACUGGUACUGAGACACGGCCCAGACUCCUACGGGAGGCAGCAGUGGGGAAUAUUGGACACUGGGCAAAAGCCUGAUCCAGCAAUGCCGCGUGAGUGAUGAAGGCCUUAGGGUUGUAAAGCUCUUUUACCAGGGAUGAUAAUGACAGUACCUGGAGAAUAAGCUCCGGCUAACUCCGUGCCAGCCGCCGCAGUAA
rnacentral:rRNA from 1 species